CUCCAGAGAAAGUAACAGCUCUCAAUUGAUUAGCUGAGGAGACCGAUUUUGUAAAUCACUACUUUUCUAACAACACUGGCACAGAUGGCCAAGCAUUCUCCCUUUUCUCAGAGCUGGUUUUCCAUCCCGGAAAGAGGUCUUACAUAUACAAAGUUACUCUAAUCAGUUGUGAGCUGAUACCAUCAGCAUUCUUACUGAAGAACUCCUUAGUGAAAUAGGGAAGUUCAUAAAAUGCUUGUGAGAAGAUGGAAUAAAUAGGAAUUUCUGUAUUCCUCCUGAUAAGUACAACUAAAAACCCUGGACAUUAUUUAUAAAACAAACUGAAGAAGACUCUGAAAGAUAGAGAGGAGAAAGCAGACCACCUAGGGACCUCAGGACUCAAGGAACAAAAUGGUAGUGAUACCUUGGGUAUUCUUUUUGCGUCAUAUAUUGCAGAAUUGGAGCUGAAGAAGCCAGCAACUCAGAAAUGCCACUAGGCAUAGACCAAAAACAGAAAGAAAAAGAAAAUCCUCAAAAAGAGCUUGUAAGCCAGGCACAGUGGCUCCUGUAAUCCCAGCACUUUGGGAUGCUGAGGCGGGCAGAUUGCUUGAGCUCAGGAGUUCAAGACCACCCUGGGCAACAUUGUGAAAUCAUGUCUCUACCAAAAAAAUUAAAAAAUCAGUUGGG
rnacentral:lncRNA from 10 species